UGGGAGAUGGAAAUACAUGAUACAUUGAGAGGGGGACAGGAUAAAGAGACGGGGUGCGUAUGUUAAGGGAGGAGAGGAGGCGCAGGAUAGCAGCAUGACGAGGAGGAGCUAUGUUAGGGUUGUGAGAUAGGCGGCAAGGUUCGUCAGGUGUGGCAACGGUCAAGUCGGAGGACGUCGGGGAGGACGCGUAUUAGAGCAUCUCCAACGCAGGUCACCUGUUAGCUUUAAAAUCUACGUGUCAGUCUAUAUAUCUAAACCCUAAAAAAAACACAACUCCAAGGCAAUCAACAUUUCCAGCUUCAGACUCAUCAUCACUCUACAAACCAACAGCAUAUCACAAAAGUUAACUCAAACAAAACACAAUCUGCAAAGUCAUUAUCAAAAAAUUAAUUAACAAAUAAAUAAAACUAAUUAAUUAAUUACUUUGGCAAUAAUAGUAGGUUUAGAGGUAGCUUUAGAAGACGCCAUUGCUCUUGAGAACCCUAAACUGCUUUGGACCACUGCAAGACUGAAACGACGUCGGUUAACGAGAUAUGCACAAAAAUGGUGUAUAUGAUUUUAUGUCUGAGUGUAUUACCUUGGACGAAUUAGGAAAGUGCGGAAACCUAGUAUUGUGGGAGAUGGAAAUACAUGAUACAUUGAGAGGGGGACAGGAUAAAGAGACGGGGUGCGUAUGUUAAGGGAGGAGAGGAGGCGCAGGAUAGCAGCAUGACGAGGAGGAGCUAUGUUAGGGUUGUGAGAUAGGCGGCAAGGUUCGUCAGGUGUGGCAACGGUCAAGUCGGAGGACGUCGGGGAGGACGCGUAUUAGAGCAUCUCCAACGCAG
rnacentral:lncRNA from 1 species